GGGGAUGAUCGGUUUCGACAGCGGAUGUCGAAGCAGGGGAAGCGUGUCGAGGAAGCGGCAAUGAUCUCGUAAACCAUAUGUCGCAAACAAUAAUCGCCAACACCAAGCGCGAUACCUUCGCCCUCGCUGCCUAAGUAGCGACUUGCGAAGUGUCAGCCCGGGGCUGUUCCCGACCCGGAUCCUGGCAUCAGCUAGGGAACUAAACUUCCGGACCCGGUCACGGGGUCCGGAAGGAAAUCAAACAGUGACUGGGCCCGUCGGCGACUUGUUCGCGUGAUUGCCGGGGCCGAGAAAAUCGCAGCGAACUGCACACGGAGAAGCCCUGUUUUUGCACCGUUGGACGCGGGUUCGAUUCCCGCCAUCUCCACGA
rnacentral:tmRNA from 1 species